rnacentral:rRNA from 1 species
GUGUGACCGCGUACUUUUUGUAGAACGGGCCAACGAGUUACGUUAAGUAGCAAGGUUAAGCACUUAAGGUGCGGAGCCGUAGCGAAAGCGAGUUUUAACUGAGCGUUCAGUUACUUGACGUAGACCCGAAACCGGGCGACCUACCCAUGAGCAGGAUGAAGCGAAAGUAAAAUUUCGUGGAGGUCCGAACCCACGAGCGUUGAAAAGCUCGGGGAUGACUUGUGGGUAGCGGUGAAAUUCCAAUCGAGCCCGGAGAUAGCUGGUUCUCCCCGAAAUAGCUUUAGGGCUAGCCUCAAGGUGAGAGAUACGGAGGUAGAGCACUGAAUGUCCUAGGGGGUAUUGCACCUACCGAAGACUAUCAAACUCCGAAUGCCGUCAUCUUAUACUUGGGAGUCAGACUGUGGGUGAUAAGAUUCAUAGUCGAAAGGGCAACAGCCCAGAUCGUCAGCUAAGGUCCCUAAAUGUAAGUUAAGUGGUAAAGGAUGUGGGAUUGCACAGACAACCAGGAUGUUGGCUUAGAAGCAGCCACUCAUUCAAAGAGUGCGUAAUAGCUCACUGGUCGAGUGAUCCUGCGCCGAAGAUUUCCGGGGCUAAAACUUACUACCGAAGCUACGGCAUCAGUAAUGAUGGGUAGGGGAGCUUCCCAUACGGGUUGAAGCAUGACCGUAAGGACAUGUGGACAGUAUGGGAGUGAGAAUGUUGGCAUGAGUAGCGAGAUGUGGGUGAGAAUCCCACAGGCCGUAAACCCAAGGUUUCCAGGGGAAGGUUCGUCCGCCCUGGGUUAGUCGGGACCUAAGCUGAGGCCGAAAGGCGUAGGUGAUGGACAACAGGUUGAUAUUCCUGUAC